UUUGUCUACGUUUCCUAGGUAGCGUGUAGGCACAAGAAGAGGGACAGCAGGCAAUGCAACACAGGCGGAGGACGACAAAGCAUUCUGAAGAAAGAUAUCAUUCAAACGUUUUUUGAGUUCAUCGCCAUCUGCCUCCUGCCUUGCAUUUUUGUUUCCUGCGUUUGGGUCCACACACACCUGCCUGCCCAGCAUUUCCUGACAAGAUGGUUUCCAGGAAGUCUCCAGUUCAGCUGUGACCUUAAGUGCAAGACCGCUCUCAGUUGGCUGACUCACCUGGUUCAGCUUCGCAGUGGGUGUACGUCACCUGGGAGGGAGGGACAAGGACGAUGAAGUCAGGAGAGGAAAACUGGAAGGAACGAGGUCUGCUGCAGUAACAAGGUGAACCAAGGGUGGACUCACCAUUAACCAAGCAGCAUAUGUGGUGCGGUACAGUUCAAGUAUGCUCACUUGAAGGAGACAGAUCUGGCUGGCUAAUUUUUGCAAGAACUAAGGUCUGUACAUUGUUCUUUGUAUUUUUUAUAUACUUAAUUAUAUGAUAUGACCAAACAAUGUCAUUAAAACCAACUUUAUUGAUUUUUUUCUGCCCCGUCCUGGAAAGAGCCAUAAUUAGCCCCUAGUGGUAUUCAUGCAAUUGCUCUUUUACUUUGGCAUUUGGGUGAAGACUAUUGUUCUUGGUUCCUACUGUACUGUAUGAAAAAGU